rnacentral:rRNA from 1 species
AAUGGCCGAAAGGCUGAACCAGUAACUUGGAAGAAUGAAGAUGUAUUAUUUUAAUACAAUAACGGCUUAGUCGUAUAAAAUUCUAAAUAGGAUAAAGAUAAUGACAAUAUCUUAUUUAUAAGUCUUGGCCAAAUUACGUGCCAGCAGUCGCGGUAAUACGUAGAAGACUAGUGUUAAUCAUUUUUAUUAGGUUUAAAGGGUAUCUAGACGGUAAAUUAAACUUUAAUAGAGUACUUUUUUACUAGAGUUUUAUAUGAGAAGGAAGAAGUUCUAGAUUAGUGUCAAUAUGUGAAUGAAACUAGAGAGACUGACAACGGCGAAGGCGUCCUCCUAUGUAAUAACUGACGUUGAGUUACGAAGGCUCGGGUAGCGAUAAGGAUUAGAGACCCUAGUAGUCCCAGCAGAAAAUGAUGAAUGUCAUAGACUAGAUUAUAUAUUUAGUUUAUAAAUGAAAGUGUAAGCAUUCCACCUCAAGAGUAAUAUGGCAACAUAUAAACUGAAAUCAUUAGGCCGUUUCUGAAAUCAGUAGUGAAGUAUGUUAUUUAAUUCGAUAACCCGCGAAAAACCUUACCACAGUUUGAAUAACAAAAAAAUUUUUUGUAACAAGCGCUGCACGGCUGUCUUUAGUUAAUGUCGUGAGAUCUGGUUAAUUCCUUUAAUUAACGAAAACCCUCACUUUAUUUGUAUAUAUAAAGUGGUUCGCCACUACAUAGGACUAGAUAAUAGGGAUUAAGACAAGUCAUCAUGGCCUUAAUACUGU